rnacentral:misc_RNA from 1 species
GUUUCUGGAAACUCUCCCACCAACUCAUCAUCUUUCAGAGCUGAUGGCACUUGACUAGUACUAGAAACCUGUGGCUGUGAUGAAGCUGAAGAAGAAGAAGCAGAUGAUCCAGGGAGUGACACUGACGACCUGUUCUGGUUUGACGAUGACGAUGAAGACCCUGUAGAACCUCUCUGGACAAGUAUCCUUGUCAUUUUUGCUGCCCUUCUUCAACUAGAGACCCACAGAACAAUCACUCUGCCUUGACCCAAAUUAGAGAAACACUUUCAAUUUAUCUCGCUUUCUGGCCUUUGGGGCGGUCACACCAAUACCUUUACUGAAUGAUUUCUUGCAGCAACUUACUUCCCUUUGAUCCUCGCGAGCUACUUUCUGCAUUCCCCUAAAAAUUCUCAUGAGAACUUCACUUCCAAAACUCUUUUUUGAAACAACAAGGCCUGUUCUCUUUAUGUUCCUUGAAAUUUCCCAAAAGUAAGCCACAACCUUAAAGCAAUAGAAAACCCUCGAGGCGAAUUACUGUGUAAUGAAACCGAAUUGAAGCAGAAAUU